ensembl:lncRNA
CAACUUAAUCAAUAUCAAGUGCCACUAUGCAUAUCACAAAUUAGGCUAUGCAAUGAAAAAAAACAGAAUCAGAACUGCCCAGCGCAAAGAGUGACGUGACAACUUAAACAGGAGUCAGCAGCAUGAGGGACUGAUAGGUUAAAGCCUACAAACAUGGACACUUUGCCAUUUCCGCUAAAGCCAAGACAGACCGAAGGUUUACCUGGUAAUAUUAGAACCUGUAGGUGUGGCUUAUUUACCAUUACGCCCAUUUCCAAUAUAAACUGUUUUCUUACCUAUGUUCGAGAGAUGCAUCAUGAACAAGCCUCCAGGAACCGUGCAUGCUUCCGCAAUGCACCAGUGCUGAACAGCCAAGCCUGGUAUUGCAGCUGUUUAAGCGGGCUGUGGACGUGUCCCUCGAUUCAAGGGGACCAGAAGUAAAUAUCUC